UACGUAGGGUCCGAGCGUUGUCCGGAUUUAUUGGGCGUAAAGAGCGUGUAGGCGGUUCGGUAAGUCUGUCGUGAAAUCCUGAGGCUCAACCUCGGACGUGCGAUGGAUACUGCCGGGCUAGAGGAUGGUAGAGGCGAGUGGAAUUCCCGGUGUAGCGGUGAAAUGCGCAGAUAUCGGGAGGAACACCAGUAGCGAAGGCGGCUCGCUGGGCCAUUCCUGACGCUGAGACGCGAAAGCUAGGGGAGCGAACAGG
rnacentral:rRNA from 1 species